rnacentral:tRNA from 1 species
GAGAGUAUAGCUCAAGAGGUAGAGUGCAUGCUUAAGAAUGCAUGAAGUCCUGGAUUCAAUCCCUAGUACCUCCU